rnacentral:rRNA from 1 species
UACAGAGGGGCAAGCGUUAUUCGGAAUUAUUGGGCGUAAAGGGCGCGUAGGCGGCUUUGCAAGUGACGGGUGAAAUCCCUCGGCUUAACCGAGGAACUGCCUGUCAGACUGUGAGGCUUGAGACCGGGAGAGGUGAGUGGAAUUCCCAGUGUAGCGGUGAAAUGCGUAGAUAUUGGGGAGGAACACCAGUGGCGAAGGCGGCU